GUCCACGCCGUAAACGAUGGAUACUAGCUGUUGGGAGCGAUCUCAGUGGCUAAGCGAAAGUGAUAAGUAUCCCACCUGGGGAGUACGUUCGCAAGAAUGAAACUCAAAGGAAUUGACGGGGGCCCGCACAAGCGGUGGAGCAUGUGGUUUAAUUCGAUGAUACGCGAGGAACCUUACCAAGGCUUAAAUGUAGAUUGACCGGUUUGGAAACAGAUCUUUCGCAAGACAAUUUACAAGGUGCUGCAUGGUUGUCGU
rnacentral:rRNA from 1 species